GAGGCCGAUGCAGUGAAUGUGGAUCUCAGCAUCCCCCCCCCCUCCGUGCACGCACACCUUUGUGCUGGAGAUUUACCAGGGAGCCCGAUGUGACGUCAAAGCUGCGGGAGAAGGGAAAAGAAGCGCUAUCGCCAUGGAAACCCGUCUCCCUCAGUUUCCCCCGUGAUGUGAGAACACGAACGCGGUGUCAUUGCACAGACCUCGGCCUGUCACGUGAGGGAGGCGUGGUGGAAUGUUUCAGGACAGCAGCUGACUUUGUGUUUACCUCCAGUGACGGACGGCUCCAUGAAUUAGCCUUUUAUUGCCUGUUUAAAGUUGAACUCCGGACCAGUGCCAUUUAUAGACUUGUGAACGACUUCAAGGUAGACUUCUCGUUUAAAGAUCUGCAGACACACGCCCGUAGUUUAGCUGUGACGGUGCUGGAGACCCGGCCGAUGAUCAGUUUGUUUUUGCUUUGCUGCCGCUUGGUGUGUUUCUGUCGUCAGUGACUAACUACGUGAUUGUGUAGAGUUUAAGGUUGCUCAUCCGUCCUCUGGCCCGGCAGGAUGAAUGGACUUAGUCCAUGAAAGCACGUGUUCAUCCACCGUCCACAGACGUGAACAGCAGCACUGACCACCGUACGCUUCAAUUGCGUGUUGAAUCCAUGACGACUGAGCACCACAGCUCGUCUCCGGUGAACAGUGGAGUGGCCCCGGUGACAUCGGAGAGGGAUUUACCAGGUAGGAUCAAAGCCGUCCUUGAUAUUACCGUCCUCUGCAUCGCGGCUCCCACUUCCGCCCACUGGAGUCCACCAUCUGGGAGGAUUUCAAGAGCCGGGGUGCUUGAGGUUAAGACAGAAUGAGCAUGGGAAAUAACUGCGUUGAAAAUAAAGCAUUACCACAUUUUUUUUUUGGCCAUAUUGUUUAUUGUUUAAUAAUAAGAUUGAAUGAUUAAAUGUAAGUAUUUUUUCCAUCGUGGGUCAAAAUGCUCUUAGGAUAUUAUUUGAACUACACGGCACAAAGUAUCAGUUUUACACCGUUUAUAAUUUCAGAAAUGUGAUUAUUAAGCGAAUAUAGCUUCAGAUAAGGUUGUAUUCACCGUCAUGGGUGAGAUCUCAGAACACAACCUCCAUAAAUUUAACUUUACAUCUUGCUGCCAUCACACUCACACCCCCGACGACAGAAUGUAAUACGUCUUGAAAUAAUUGGCCUUUAAAAAAGUCCUACACGAGGUGAAGUCGAUCAAUAAAUUGAUUUCCAGUGACGCGCUUUCUCCCUUUUUUGGCCACAAUUGUCAGGUCUGUUCAUCGCAUUAACAGAAGAGGAAAAUACGUUUGAAAAGGCAGCGGAUCGAACGGACCAUUAAAGCACGGACAAAGCCCCUGAGUGGGGCUCUGCAGGCCAGACCAGGACACCAGUGUUCAUAUCCCAAAACGUUACCCUUCGGUACAUGUUGUGCCACGUAGACCUCCCAGUCGGAAAACGAAACUGUGUUUUUAAAUAAGAAUUUCUGCGUAUUUUACUAGAUAUCCAGACGCUCGAGAGGCUGAGAAAUGAGGGCGACCCUCUUCAGAAUACAGAGCAGCGAUCAUCCAGCCGAUCCCUCCGUGUCGGCGUGGUACAGUGGACGCAGUGGGAGCUCAGACCGAUAGCUCGGCGCUAAUCACCCGUGUGCCUCUUCUCCCCAGAGGAUGUGCAGGCUGCUCAACGCUCAACAUAAAUCCCAUUAUGGGCUCGCUGUGAUGCAUCUGGAUUGGCUGCAUACAUUACAGCAAUGUUGUCCCUGGUUUCCGUUUACUUUAUGAUUGUUAAGACUUUCAUGGCAUCAAAGGCGAUUUAUUUAGGUCAGAAAAAGCCUAAAGGUCCGAAAUCGUUUUGCAGCAAAAUGCAUUUCAAUUCCAUACUUUAUUUACAGGAUUUCCGGGUUCUUUUCCUAAAUCCCACUGACACUUCGAGCACCUCUAAUAACCAAAAUGUCAGCCCAACGGAGCCUUUCCUUUCAGUAUCAAGGGGCUCCUCCGAUGUCUACAGGAUCUUCUUGUGCAGCUACUUAUUGACCAACCUCUUUAUUUAAACAAUGCACGUUGGUUUGGCUGUUUGUUCCGUGUCAGAAUUCUGCCACCGAAAUCUGAAGUUUAACUCGCAGUUCUGUUCGUUGUCCUGCUUUCCCUCCGGCGCUUGACUCUGAACUCGAGGGUCGGCCUCUGUCGAGCUCAACGACGGCUUGAUGGACUCACCUGCGUGGCCGAGCCCCUCUGAGUGCUCCCGCGCGCCUUUUCCCAGCAACGACCGCCGGGCCGACGGAACGAUUGAGCGCCGCGCAAAAGAAACAACCCGCUCUUUUUCGGUGAUUGACAUUGCCGGGCCGCUUAGCACGUUAUGAAUCGGCCAGAGCAGAGCGCCCCCCCCCCCCGUCGGUGAUCUUUUGCGUCAACUCUUCGAUUCAUGCGUUGCGGGAGAGGAAGGGAGCGCCCGACGAGCCGGGCUGGACGGACGGCGAGCUCGAUGACUGCCGCUGCUUUUACUUUCCCGUGUGCCGCUGAGCGUGAAGAGAUCACGUCACGUUAGAGAGAGAAGCAACAGAAUGGAAAAUAAGCGCGGCCUUGUUGUUGUUGUUGUUGUCCAUUUAUUUCUAGCCCCCACUUCCUGUCUGUGUGUGCAUGUGCAGCGUGGGUGGCGAUGUGUGUGUGUGUGUGUGUGUGUCGUUUGUCGUGCACAUGGAAACAAACUGUCACAAAAGAAAGAAAGAUUGUGAAACUUGACGUGACGUAUCGACAAUGCUGAUCCGCGACAACGAGGAGGAAGCGUGAAGUUCACAGGAAGUGAAACCACAGCGGAGCCCCUCGCAACAACCGCCGAGGUCACAGAGGAUCUCCAGCAGAAACGAACAAUAGCUGUCGCUUCUCAUCCUCGCAGCAGGUGUCACAUGGAGCCGACUUGUGACCUUCUGACCUUCAGCCAGAGUUACCCUCCAAACCGCCCCCCCCGAAGUCUCUCUUUCCCCCCCUGAGGGUGAAAGCAGCUCCUCCUCGCGUGGACGGUUAAACGCCAGCUGCGUCCGAGCCCACGCGGCGCGCGCCCACGGCCUUCAAACUGUCACACGGGGGGGACUUUACGUUUCUCGGUGAAAGUAAACGGUUCGCGGUGAAACUUUCCCUCUCGUCCCGCGGUCUCCUCCCUUCGCCGUGUUCUUGUCUCGUUCUCGGGGAACCUUUUAACUUCAAGAUCGACCGAGACCAACUAAUUCUUCUCCUCGUUGAAUUAUUCUGUCGAUCAUAACUUAAGGCAAUAAAGUAAAUGAUGUUUGUUUUUAUGGGACGGGUUGAGGAGUUAUUUUCACUUCCACGUUUAUGUCCUGCGAUAUAAAACACGGCGGUAAAACUUCUUCUUGUCCACCUUUGCAGCGUUGCAGCGUUGUACAGCGGCAUGUAGAUUAUCGACCAACUGUGACAUUCAUGAUAAAAAAAACUAAACCAUCA